CAGGGCGGGCGCCAGGGGGCGCCUCCCGGCCCGGCCCCUCAGGGCGGGACCCGCGGGACCCUCAGGGCGACCCCGGCCCGGCCCUGCCCGCUCCCCUGCCCGCACGUCCCCCCGGCACCCCGCCACCUUCCCCGAGCCAAACAUGCGCCUGGGUUGCCCGAGGUAACGCGCAGAGCGUUGUGGAGAGGAGAGCAUCCUCCCCGUGGCUCCCCACGCACCGUGGUACGGGGUAUAUGGACACCGGAGGGAGGUUCCUGUGGGAGUAAUCCCUCAAAAAAACCUCCUUGCGAUGGCACACGGCCAGGCAGCGGCGUCGGUUUGUGGCAGGUGAUCGCAGAGUCACUGAGGCUGGAAAAGCCCUCUCAGCCCGUCGAGUCCGAGCUGUGCCCGAUGCCCGCCUCGCCCCCGGCCCAGAGCACUGAGUGCCGCAUCCAAACCUCCCUGGGCAGCCCCUUCCAACGUCUAAUCACCCCUUCUGUGAAGAAAUUCCUCCUGAUGGCCAACCUGAACCUCCACUGGCUGCAGCUCAAGACUCUGUCCUCUGUUUCUUAUCAGCACUCAGGAAAUAUUUCGCUACGGAACAACUGAAGGAAUUCAUGGGAAUCCAGAAUCCAGCAGCCGUUCCUGACUCGCAGUGAAUGCGUGGGAUUGGAGUUCAGGAUGUCACCCUGCCCAAAAGGACUCAUCCAAGCAGCAGCCCCGCCGUGCAAAGCCCAUUUAUCUUCUGAGAAGAAAAGACCAGCAAAAACAGCCCUGCCAGCCCUUGGGUUCAGUCCUUGUGCUGGCUUUGCAAUAUUUUUUUUUUUUUUUUUGCUUUCCACUCAAAAAUUGCGAGACUGCAUCUUCCUUAAGCUGCCCUUGUAGGCUCACUGACAGAAAAUGUGUAUUUCUCCACAUCCUUGCUUUUCCCUCAUGGGUUUUACAUCAUUUGAUACAUGAUUUUUUUGUUCCCCCUGCUGCAUUUACUACUUUUUAUUUCAGGCUUUCUCAGAUGUUUUAGCACUUUCUUAUUUCCAUGGUUUCAUUCCCUAUUCCCAGACUCUGUUAGACAAUGCCUCGGGCUUGGUGUUGCAUUGGGAAGCUCAUCCUGGACCAGCUGCAUCCACCCCUUCUCCCUCAGUCAGCAUAAAAGAAAAGCACCUGAGAUGUUCCAGCAGAGCAGGGCUAGAGAAAAUCCCUUUGUCCAGCAAGCAAACAACCAGGACUGGAGUCAGGACAAGUAAAAUGUAAUUACUUAUGGAGACUGAAAUAGAAAUUUGUCUUCAUUUGCAAUUAAAUUAGUUCCCUAUAAACAUUGAGAGCUGUUGCAGGGGGAAGGUAAUGUGAUUUCUCUCUCCCAGACUAAUUAUUUACUAAAUUCUCUUUCUGACUCCACUGAACAAGUUGGUGCAUUUCUCAAAACAUAGCUGUAGAAAAAAAGGGGGACAAUUUUUUUUAAUAAGACUUGGAUAAGUCAUGUAAAAUAAAUAUUCCUUGUCUUUAGGAAUUUUACCACAUCUGCACUUAGAAAUCAUCCAGAAAAUGAAAAUGUAUCCCUUGCUCUUGGCAUCUAGGCAAGAUGAUGGAAGAGAUGCUGGGGUAAAUUCUAAAUGCUGCCUCAACUGUGCAACAAUGGAAAUUUCCAGAAAUAAUUGUUAUAGAUUAGACUGCAUAAAAAGAUAUAAAAAUACAAGGAACAUCUUAGAACCGUAGACUCGUAGAGGGGCUUGGGUUGGAAAAGAGUUAUGACCAACUGAAAAAAAAUAACUCCAAAGAAUUCUAUGACUCUAAGAGAUUUUAAUCUCUGCAGAACAGAAGCAUUCUGCAUAGUGAAAAAGGUCCCUGGAUAGUAAAAGAAGGAGAACAUGUGGGCAAAUUGAAUUUGAAAAUAUUUACCAGAGCAAAAGCAAAUCCUGGGCUGCAUCUCCCAAUGACCUGACGUUUUGAUGUUGCUGACUUUAUUGCUAAGGCCUUGUCUUUGGCUUUAGCUCAAAAAUCUGCUGGUGUCUCCUUCCAGGUUUACCUUGUAGGAGUUUGCCAUUUGUUCUAGACUUAAACAAUAAAAUACAAGAGGAAUGAC